rnacentral:misc_RNA from 1 species
UCCAACCCGCAAGGGAGGGGGACGCCGAAGGUAGGGCUGGUGACUGGGGUGAAGUCGUAACAAGGUAGCCGUACUGGAAGGUGCGGCUGGAUCACCUCCUUUUAGGGAGACCUACCACCGCCAGCAACGAGUUUUGGGCGUGAGUUUCGUUGUGGCAGGUGGUCAUCCCGAGGUCAAUCGGGGUUUAGCCUUUGGCUGUACUUCCAAGCCUAUUUUGUCCGGGGCGAGGGCUAUUAGCUCAGGUGGUUAGAGCGCACCCCUGAUAAGGGUGAGGACCCUGGUUCAAGUCCAGGAUGGCCCACUCGGGGGGGUAUGGCUCAGUGGUAGAGCGCCCGCUUUGCACGCAGGAUGUCAGCGGUUCGAAUCCGCUUACCUCCACCAGAUGUCGUGUUCAGCACUUGCGGGAUAGACGCAAACUGCUGGACGCGCGAGCGCCAGUACCGAACCUUGACAACUGCAUAGCGUUAGAUAGUCAUCACCAAUGGGCAAGGAUCCAAGGGCUGAUGGUG